rnacentral:lncRNA from 1 species
AUUUUUGGGGACGUCGGAUCACAACUUCCCUAUCAAGUCAGAACAUCUGGUUGUUCUGACUGAGUGACAAGGUUACCACAUACGGUGGUACAGACUGGAAGCCUGGGUGCAGCGCGGCUGCACUGAGAGGAUUCAAUUUGAAUGACUGUCUUUUCAGCCUGAAGAUUUUGACCUUGGACGUGUUCCUCUCCCACUCUCCCACCACGUGUGUGUGGUACUGGGGUUGAAUACAGCACCUUCACACUGAACUACAUCUCCAACCCAGGUUUUAUUUUUCUACAUAGAGUCUUGCUAAGUUGCCCAAACUGGGCUUGAACUUGAGAUCUUCCUACUUCAGUCUCUCACAAUGCCGUUUACAGUGACGUGCACUACACUG